GUGGGGAAUCUUGCGCAAUGGGCGAAAGCCUGACGCAGCCACGCCGCGUGAGUGAUGAAGGCCUUCGGGUUGUAAAGCUCUGUCGAGAGGAACGAAGGGGGUAACCCUUGACGGUACCUCUCAAGGAAGCACCGGCUAACUCUGUGCCAGCAGCCGCGGUAAUACAGAGGGUGCAAGCGUUGCUCGGAUUUACUGGGCGUAAAGCGUACGCAGACGGCUCGGCAGGUCGGGUGUGAAAGCCCCGGGCUCAACCUGGGAACUGCAUUCGAAACCACCGAGCUCGAGUAUGGGAGAGGGAAGCGGAAUUCCUGGUGUAGAGGUGAAAUUCGUAGAUAUCAGGAGGAACACCUGCGGCGAAAGCGGCUUCCUGGCCCAUUACUGACGUUCAGGUACGAAAGCGUGGGGAGCAAACAGGAUUAGAAACCCCAGUAGUCC
rnacentral:rRNA from 1 species